rnacentral:rRNA from 1 species
UACGUAGGGCGCAAGCGUUAUCCGGAAUUAUUGGGCGUAAAGAGCUCGUAGGCGGUUUGUCGCGUCUGCUGUGAAAGACCGGGGCUCAACUCCGGUUCUGCAGUGAGUACGGGCAGACUAGAGUGCAGGUAGGGGAGAACUGGAAUUCCGUGGUGUGCGGUGAAAUGCGCAGAUAUCAGGAGGAACACCGGUGGCGAAGGCGGCGACCUGGGUCGAUACUGACGCUGAGGUGCGAAAGCGUGGGAGCAAACAGG